ACGGAAGGCAGCAGUGGGGAAUAUUGCACAAUGGGGGAAACCCUGAUGCAGCGACGCCGCGUGGGUGAUGAAAUAUUUCGGUAUGUAAAGCCCUAUCAGCAGGGAAGAUAAUGACGGUACCUGACUAAGAAGCCCCGGCUAAAUACGUGCCAGCAGCCGCGGUAAUACGUAUGGGGCAAGCGUUAUCCGGAUUUACUGGGUGUAAAGGGAGCGCAGGCGGUUUUGUAAGUUGAGUGUGAAAGCCCGGGGCUCAACCCCGGGACUGCACCCAAAACUGCAGGACUAGAGUGUCGGAGGGGCAAGCGGAAUUCCUAGUGUAGCGGUGAAAUGCGUAGAUAUUAGGAGGAACACCGGUGGCGAAGGCGGCUUGCUGGACGAUAACUGACGCUGAGGCUCGAAAGCGUGGGGAGCAAACAGGAUUAGAUACCCUGGUA
rnacentral:rRNA from 1 species